rnacentral:misc_RNA from 1 species
GGUAGUAAAAGUCGUAACAAGGUCUCCGUUGGUGAACCAGCGGGGGGAUCAUUACCGAGUUUACAACUCCCAAACCCAAUGUGAACGUUACCAAACUGUUGCCUCGGCGGGGUCACGCCCCGGGAGCGUCGCAGCCCGGGAACCAUGCGCCCGCCGGGGGAACCAACCAAACUCUUUCUGUAGUCCCCUCGCGGACGUUAUUUCUUACAGCUCUGAGCAAAAAUUCAAAAUGAAUCAAAACUUUCAACAACGGAUCUCUUGGUUCUG